CGGCACCAUUAGCCGUAGUAACAACGAACUGUGAGAAGUCAGCAGAAGCCAUAGUAGGCAGUCUUUGAAAGCCAGAGAUAAGCCAAAGGGC
rnacentral:ncRNA from 1 species